GGGUUGUGAGGUUAAGCGACUAAGCGUACACGGUGGAUGCCCUGGCAGUCAGAGGCGAUGAAGGACGUGCUAAUCUGCGAAAAGCGUCGGUAAGGUGAUAUGAACCGUUACAGCCGGCGAUGUCCGAAUGGGGAAACCCAGUGCAAUUCGUUGCACUAUCGUUAACUGAAUACAUAGGUUAACGAGGCGAACCGGGGGAACUGAAACAUCUAAGUACCCCGAGGAAAAGAAAUCAACCGAGAUUCCCCCAGUAGCGGCGAGCGAACGGGGAGCAGCCCAGAGUCUGAAUCAGCUUGUGUGUUAGUGGAACGGUCUGGAAAGUCCGACGGUACAGGGUGAUAGUCCCGUACACCAAAAUGCACAGGCUGUGAACUCGAAGAGUAGGGCGGGACACGUGGUAUCCUGUCUGAAUAUGGGGGGACCAUCCUCCAAGGCUAAAUACUCCUGACUGACCGAUAGUGAACCAGUACCGUGAGGGAAAGGCGAAAAGAACCCCGGCGAGGGGAGUGAAAAAGAACCUGAAACCGUGUACGUACAAGCAGUGGGAGCACCUUCGGGUGUGACUGCGUACCUUUUGUAUAAUGGGUCAGCGACUUAUAUUCUGUAGCAAGGUUAACCGUAUAGGGGAGCCGCAGGGAAACCGAGUCUUAACUGGGCGUUAAGUUGCAGGGUAUAGACCCGAAACCCGGUGAUCUAGCCAUGGGCAGGUUGAAGGUUGGGUAACACUAACUGGAGGACCGAACCGACUAAUGUUGAAAAAUUAGCGGAUGACUUGUGGCUGGGGGUGAAAGGCCAAUCAAACCGGGAGAUAGCUGGUUCUCCCCGAAAGCUAUUUAGGUAGCGCCUCGUGAAUUCAUCUUCGGGGGUAGAGCACUGUUUCGGCUAGGGGGUCAUCCCGACUUACCAACCCGAUGCAAACUACGAAUACCGAAGAAUGUUAUCACGGGAGACACACGGCGGGUGCUAACGUCCGUCGUGAAGAGGGAAACAACCCAGACCGCCAGCUAAGGUCCCAAAGUCAUGGUUAAGUGGGAAACGAUGUGGGAAGGCACAGACAGCCAGGAUGUUGGCUUAGAAGCAGCCAUCAUUUAAAGAAAGCGUAAUAGCUCACUGGUCGAGUCGGCCUGCGCGGAAGAUGUAACGGGGCUAAACCAUGCACCGAAGCUGCGGCAGCGACACUAUGUGUUGUUGGGUAGGGGAGCGUUCUGUAAGCCUGCGAAGGUGUGCUGUGAGGCAUGCUGGAGGUAUCAGAAGUGCGAAUGCUGACAUAAGUAACGAUAAAGCGGGUGAAAAGCCCGCUCGCCGGAAGACCAAGGGUUCCUGUCCAACGUUAAUCGGGGCAGGGUGAGUCGACCCCUAAGGCGAGGCCGAAAGGCGUAGUCGAUGGGAAACAGGUUAAUAUUCCUGUACUUGGUGUUACUGCGAAGGGGGGACGGAGAAGGCUAUGUUAGCCGGGCGACGGUUGUCCCGGUUUAAGCAUGUAGGCUGAUUGUCCAGGCAAAUCCGGAUAAUCAAGGCUGAGGUGUGAUGACGAGGCACUACGGUGCUGAAGUAACAAAUGCCCUGCUUCCAGGAAAAGCCUCUAAGCAUCAGGUAACAUCAAAUCGUACCCCAAACCGACACAGGUGGUCAGGUAGAGAAUACCAAGGCGCUUGAGAGAACUCGGGUGAAGGAACUAGGCAAAAUGGUGCCGUAACUUCGGGAGAAGGCACGCUGGUGUGUAGGUGAAGUCCCUGCGGAUGGAGCUGAGACCAGUCGAAGAUACCAGCUGGCUGCAACUGUUUAUUAAAAACACAGCACUGUGCAAACACGAAAGUGGACGUAUACGGUGUGACGCCUGCCCGGUGCCGGAAGGUUAAUUGAUGGGGUUAUCCGUAAGGAGAAGCUCUUGAUCGAAGCCCCGGUAAACGGCGGCCGUAACUAUAACGGUCCUAAGGUAGCGAAAUUCCUUGUCGGGUAAGUUCCGACCUGCACGAAUGGCGUAAUGAUGGCCAGGCUGUCUCCACCCGAGACUCAGUGAAAUUGAACUCGCUGUGAAGAUGCAGUGUACCCGCGGCAAGACGGAAAGACCCCGUGAACCUUUACUAUAGCUUGACACUGAACAUUGAGCCUUGAUGUGUAGGAUAGGUGGGAGGCUUUGAAGCGUGGACGCCAGUCUGCGUGGAGCCAACCUUGAAAUACCACCCUUUAAUGUUUGAUGUUCUAACGUUGGCCCCUUACCGGGGUUGCGGACAGUGUCUGGUGGGUAGUUUGACUGGGGCGGUCUCCUCCCAAAGCGUAACGGAGGAGCACGAAGGUUAGCUAAUCCUGGUCGGACAUCAGGAGGUUAGUGCAAUGGCAUAAGCUAGCUUGACUGCGAGCGUGACGGCGCGAGCAGGUGCGAAAGCAGGUCAUAGUGAUCCGGUGGUUCUGAAUGGAAGGGCCAUCGCUCAACGGAUAAAAGGUACUCCGGGGAUAACAGGCUGAUACCGCCCAAGAGUUCAUAUCGACGGCGGUGUUUGGCACCUCGAUGUCGGCUCAUCACAUCCUGGGGCUGAAGUAGGUCCCAAGGGUAUGGCUGUUCGCCAUUUAAAGUGGUACGCGAGCUGGGUUUAGAACGUCGUGAGACAGUUCGGUCCCUAUCUGCCGUGGGCGCUGGAGAAUUGAGGGGGGCUGCUCCUAGUACGAGAGGACCGGAGUGGACGCAUCACUGGUGUUCGGGUUGUCAUGCCAAUGGCACUGCCCGGUAGCUAAAUGCGGAAGAGAUAAGUGCUGAAAGCAUCUAAGCACGAAACUUGCCCCGAGAUGAGUUCUCCCUGAGACUUUAAGUCUCCUGAAGGAACGUUAAAGACGAUGACGUUGAUAGGCCGGGUGUGUAAGCGCAGCGAUGCGUUGAGCUAACCGGUACUAAUGAACCGUGAGGCUUAACCUUACAACGCCGAAG
rnacentral:rRNA from 1 species